UACAUAGGGAGCAAGCGUUAUCCGGAUUUAUUGGGCGUAAAGGGAACGCAGGCGGUCUUUUAAGUCUGAUGUGAAAGCCUUCGGCUUAACCGGAGUAGUGCAUUGGAAACUGGGAGACUUGAGUGCAGAAGAGGAGAGUGGAACUCCAUGUGUAGCGGUGAAAUGCGUAGAUAUAUGGAAGAACACCAGUGGCGAAAGCGGCUCUCUGGUCUGUAACUGACGUUGAGGCUCGAAAGCGUGGGGAGCAAACAGG
rnacentral:rRNA from 1 species